rnacentral:rRNA from 1 species
UCUGGUGGCCUUAGCACGGCGGAACCACCCGGUCCCAUUCCGAACCCGGAAGUGAAACGCUGUAGCGCCGAUGGUAGUAUAGCGAAAGGCUAUGCGAGAGUAGGUCGCUGCCAGGU